CAAUAGCGUAUAUUAAAGUUGUUGCAGUUAAAAAGCUCGUAGUUGGAUUUCGGGGUGGCCUGGCUGGUCCGCCGCAGGGUGAGUACUGGUCAGCCGCCCUUCCUCUCGAAAGCCCCGACUGCUCUUUACUGCAGUGGUCGGGUAGUUCGGGACGUUUACUUUGAAAAAAUUAGAGUGUUCAAGGCAGGCUAUCGCCUGAAUACAUUAGCAUGGAAUAAUGGAAGAGGACCUCGGUCCUAUUUUGUUGGUUUCUAGGGCCGAAGUAAUGAUUAAGAGGGACAGUUGGGGGCAUUCGUAUUUAAUUGUCAGAGGUGAAAUUCUUGGAUUUAUGAAAGACGAACUAGUGCGAAAGCAUUUGCCAAGGAUGUUUUCAUUAA
rnacentral:rRNA from 1 species